rnacentral:rRNA from 1 species
GAUGAACGCUAGCGGCAGGCUUAAUACAUGCAAGUCGUGGGGCAGCAUGAGUGUAGCAAUACAUUUGAUGGCGACCGGCAAACGGGUGCGGAACACGUACACAACCUUCCUAUAAGUGGGGAAUAGCCCAGAGAAAUUUGGAUUAAUACCCCGUAACAUAAUGAUGUGGCAUCACAUUAUUAUCAUAGCUUCGGCGCUUAUUGAUGGGUGUGCGGCUGAUUAGAUAGUUGGCGGGGUAACGGCCCACCAAGUCUACGAUCAGUAGCUGAUGUGAGAGAAUGAUCAGCCACACGGGAACUGAGACACGGGCCCGACUCCUACGGGAGGCAGCAGUAAGGAAUAUUGGUCAAUGGACGCAAGUCCGAACCAGCCAUGCCGCGUGAAGGAUUAAGGUCCUCUGGAUUGUAAACUUCUUUUAUCUGGGACGAAAAAAGGCGAUUCUUCGUCACUUGACGGUACCAGAUGAAUAAGCACCGGCUAACUCCGUGCCAGCCGCCGCAGUAAUAC